rnacentral:rRNA from 1 species
UACGAAGGGUGCAAGCGUUACUCGGAAUCACUGGGCGUAAAGCGCACGUAGGCGGACUUACAGGUCAAUUGUGAAAUACCUGAGCUCAACUCAGGAACUGCAGUUGAAACCGUUUGUCUUGAAUACCUGAGAGGGUGGGGGAAUACCUGGUGGAGAAGUGAAAUUCGUAGAGAUCAGGUGGAACACCGGAGGCGAAGGCGCCUGCCUGGCAGUGUAUUGACGCUGAGGUGCGAAAGUGCGGGGAGCAAACAGG